UCCCUGGUGGCUCAGAAGGUAAAGCAUCUGCCUGCAAUGCAGGAGACCUGGGUUUGAUUCCUGGGUUGGGAA
rnacentral:tRNA from 1 species